rnacentral:tRNA from 1 species
GCGAGGGUGGCGGAAUUUGGUAGACGCGCCAGAUUUAGGAUCUGGUACCCAAAAGGUAUGGGGGUUCGAGUCCCCCCUCUCGCA